rnacentral:rRNA from 1 species
AUGGCCACCUCGGGUGCCGGAGAGAGGUUUCUACCGCGAAGCGAGGCCGACGCCAUCCCGUUCUCCUUCGGCGAGGUCCCUCAGAUCCUCAGCCGCUUCUCCGUGAAGCCGGACUCCCAGGAGGCGGCGGAGAUGGCGCGGACGCUGCACGUCUGCGAGGCGCCGGCGGCCGAGGGCGAGAAGAGGUGGUGCGCCACGUCGCUAGAGUCGAUGGUGGACUUCACCACGUCCAGCCUCGGGACCAGCAACGUGAGGGCCGUGUCCACCGUCGUCGGUAUGGAGGGAACGCCGAGGCAGGAGUACACCCUGACCGGCGUGAAGCGCGCCGGCGACGACCAGCUCGUGGUCUGCCACGCGGAGCCGUACGCGUACGCCGUGUUCGCGUGCCACCUGACGCAGGCGACGAGGGCCAACACAUUGUCGAUGGUCGGCGAGGAUGGCACGGCGGUGGAGGCAGUCGCGGUGUGCCACGCCGACACGGCCGGCUGGAACCCGAGGCACGUCGCGUUCGAGGUGCUCAAGGUGCAACCCGGCAAGGUGCCAGUGUGCCACUUGGUGCCGCAGGACCACGUCGUCUGGACCCGCAGCCUGACGUUCGCUACCUAUUUGGAUGUCUGA